rnacentral:rRNA from 1 species
UGAGUACGAGAUGCUACGGCAUCGAAGCAGUCUAUGUCAUACUUCCAAGAAAAGCUUGCACUGUCAUAAACAAAGAAUGCCUGUACCAUAACCGACACAGGUGGGUAGGUAGAGUAUACUAAGGGGCGCGAGAUAACUCUCUCUAAGGAACUCGGCAAAAUGACUCCGUAACUUCGGGAGAAGGAGUGCCUUAUUUCUAAGGUUGCAAUAACAAGAUCCAAGCAACUGUUUACCAAAAACACAGGUCUCCGCUAAGUCGUAAGACGAUGUAUGGGGGCUGACGCCUGCCCAGUGCCAGAAGGUUAAAGAAGUUGGUUAGCAUUAGCGAAGCUGAUAACUGAAGCCCUGGUGAACGGCGGCCGUAACAAUAACGGUCCUAAGGUAGCGAAAUUCCUUGUCGGGUAAGUUCCGACCCGCACGAAAGGCGUAAUGAUUUGGAUACUGUCUCGGAGAGGGGCUCGGUGAAAUAGACUUGUCUGUGAAGAUGCGGACUACCUGCACCUGGACAGAAAGACCCUAUGAAGCUUUACUGUAACUUGAGAUUGAAAUUGGACUUUAUUUGCGCAGUAUAGGUGGGAGGCGUUGAGAAUAAUCUUGCGGGAUUGUUGGAGCCAUCAGUGAGAUACCACUCUUGUAAUGUUAGAUUUCUAACUUUGUAUCAUUAUCUGGUCAAAGAACAGUUUCAGGCGGGCAGUUUGACUGGGGCGGUCGCCUCCCAAAGGGUAACGGAGGCGCACAAAGGUUUCCUCUGAACGGGUAGAAAUCGUAUCUAGAGUGUAAAGGCAUAAGGAAGCUUGACUGUGAGACCUACAAGUCGAGCAGGGACGAAAGUCGGUCUUAGUGAUCUGACGGUGCUGAGUGGAAAGGCCGUCACUCAACGGAUAAAAGUUACUCUAAGGAUAACAGGCUGAUCUCCCCCAAGAGUUCACAUCGACGGGGAGGUUUGGCACCUCGAUGUCGGCUCAUCGCAUCCUGGGGCGGUAGUCCGUCCCAAGGGUUGGGCUGUUCGCCCAUGAAAGCGGUACGCGAGCUGGGUUCAGAACGUCGUGAGACAGUUCGGUCCAUAUCCGGUGUAGGCGUUAGAAUAUUGAGAGGAGCCUUCUCUAGUACGAGAGGACCGAGAAGGACAUACCUCUGGUGUACCAGUUAUCGUGCCAACGGUAAACGCUGGGUAGCUAUGUAUGGAGUGGAUAACCGCUGAAAGCAUCUAAGUGGGAAGCCCACCUCAAGAUAAGUAUUCUCAUC